rnacentral:rRNA from 1 species
AUUGAACGCUGGCGGCAGGCCUAACACAUGCAAGUCGAACGAGUGGCGGACGGGUGAGUAAUGUCUGGGAAACUGCCUGAUGGAGGGGGAUAACUACUGGAAACGGUAGCUAAUACCGCAUACCAUCGGAUGUGCCCAGAUGGGAUUAGAUAGUAGGUGGGGUAAAGGCUCACCUAGUCGACGAGCCCUAACUGGUCUGAGAGGAUGACCAGCCACUCUGGAACUGAAACCCGGUCCAGAUUCCUACGGGAGGCAGCAGUGGGGAAUAUUGCACAAUGGGCGCAAGCCUGAUUCAGCCAUGCCGCGUGGAUGAAGAAUGCCUUCGGGUUGUAAAGUACUUUCAGCGGGGAGGCGUUACCCGCAGAAGAAGCACCGGCUAACUCCGUGCCAGCAGCCGCGGUAAUUC